GUUUCUGGAUGAAACAGAAGUGAAAGAAACUUCUCUAUUAAUUAUAUUAAGUGAAAUACAAAAAAUCCAGUUGAAUACCGCCAACAUCGAAUUGAAAUUAAAGGAACUGACUGAUGUAAAUGAGCUUAUAAAAUCUAAAGAGCAAGUUGUCGAUUACAAAGAUCAAAUAUCCAAGUUGCAUUCAACUCUAACAUCAUACAAACAUACCAUCAAUGAAAAAAAUAAAAAAAUAUCAAAGUUGGAGUCGGAAAACGAUGAGUAUAAUGUAAAUUAUAAUACGCUGAAGUAUGAAUUUGAGAAGCAAAAUAGCGAAACAGAAUGGCUGAAAAAUGAACAAAGGGAAAACCAAGAGAAGGUAGAGAAAACAUCGCUUCUAGAAAAAGAAUUAAGUAUGGAACAUUAAA